CCCAGUUUCAGAAGAUCUUCAGAUGACAUUGAUAUUUCAUAUAUUGAGCUCUUAUUCUAGUUUUUAGCUCAGAUGUCUUUCUACCCAAAUUCCCAUUUCGAGUUUUCAAUUUGAGUCUUCUUUUCUUCUCUAUUUUUUAUUUUUUCUUUUUUUUUCUUUCACCUAUUAUUGAUAUCUCAUCAAUCUCUAGAGUAAUGAAGCAUGAUUCUAUCAUUCUAUCAUUCUAUCAU
rnacentral:lncRNA from 1 species